rnacentral:rRNA from 1 species
AACGAACGCUAGCGGCAGGCUUAACACAUGCAAGUCGAGCGCCCCGCAAGGGGAGCGGCAGACGGGUGAGUAACGCGUGGGAACGUACCUUUUGGUUCGGAACAACUCCGGGAAACUGGAGCUAAUACCGGAUAAGCCCUAACGGGGAAAGAUUUAUCGCCGAAAGAUCGGCCCGCGUCUGAUUAGCUAGUUGGUGAGGUAACGGCUCACCAAGGCGACGAUCAGUAGCUGGUCUGAGAGGAUGAUCAGCCACACUGGGACUGAGACACGGCCCAGACUCCUACGGGAGGCAGCAGUGGGGAAUAUUGGACAAUGGGCGCAAGCCUGAUCCAGCCAUGCCGCGUGAGUGAUGAAGGCCUUAGGGUUGUAAAGCUCUUUUGUCCGGGAAGAUAAUGACUGUACCGGAAGAAUAAGCCCCGGCUAACUUCGUG